rnacentral:rRNA from 1 species
AUGGCGGCGGCUGUGUCGCGCGACGACGAGCUGGUGGUCAAGUCCCCCAGCGACAACCGUUCCUACCGCCUCCUUCGCCUCGCCAAUGGCCUCUGCGCCCUCCUCAUCCACGACCCCGAGAUCUACGCCGACGGCGGCCCUGCCCCCAAGCCCAACGAAGACGUGGACAUGGACGAUGGGGACGACGAAGAAGAAGAUGACGAGGACGACGAAGAAGAUGACGAAGAAUAUAGCGACGAGGAUGGGGAGGAUGACGACGACGAAGAAGGCGAGGAGGACGAGGAUGGGAGCGAGCCCAAGAGGAAGAAGGACAAGGGCAGCUCCGAGCCGGUCAUUAAGAAGGCUGCUGCUGCAGUGUGUGUUGGAAUGGGCAGUUUUGCGGACCCUCCAAAGGCACAGGGCUUGGCUCAUUUUCUAGAGCACAUGCUUUUUAUGGGGAGCUCUGUUUUUCCAGAUGAAAACGAGUAUGACAGUUACCUGUCCAAACAUGGUGGCUCAUCCAAUGCUUUUACCGAAACUGAGUACACAUGCUAUCAUUUUGAGGUCAAUCGGGAGUAUCUAAAGGGAGCCUUAGACAGAUUUUCUCAGUUCUUUGUAUCACCUCUUGUUAAGGCUGAAGCUAUGGACCGCGAGAUAUUAGCAGUAGACUCAGAGUUCAAUCAAGUUCUGCAAAGCGAUAGCUGCCGCCUUUACCAACUGCAGUCCCAUACUUGCUCUCAAGGGCACCCAUUGAAUAGAUUUACCUGGGGAAACAAGAAAAGCUUGUCGAAUGCAAUGGGCAGUGGAAUCAAUCUAAGGGAAGAGAUUUUGCAAAUGUACAUGAGUAACUAUCAUGGAGGGAUGAUGAAGCUAGUUAUAAUUGGGGGAGAACCCCUUGACACUCUAGAAGCCUGGACCAUGGAGCUAUUCAGUGAAGUUAAAGCUGGUCCUCUGUUAGAAAUAAGUCCAAAAACUGAUAUGCCUUUCUGGAAAUCUGGUAAACUUUAUAAGCUAGAGGCUGUCAGAGAUGUUCACAGUCUUUUCCUGUCAUGGACACUUCCUUGCCUGCACAAGGAAUACAUGAAGAAACCAGAAGAUUACUUGGCACAUCUCCUUGGUCAUGAGGGCAAGGGAAGCUUGCUAUAUUUUUUGAAAGCUAAAGGUUGGGCUAGCACAUUGAGUGCUGGCGUUGGCACUGGAGGAACACAACGAUCCUCGUAUGCCUAUAUCUUUGAGAUGUCUAUCCGCCUUUCUGAUUCUGGACUUAAAAAUCUCUUCGAGGUCAUUACAGCUGUGUACCAAUAUAUAAAUUUACUUAAGCAGUCUGAGCCGCAAGAAUGGAUAUUUAAGGAACUUCAGGACAUUGGGUACAUGGAAUUCAGAUUUGCAGAAGAGCAACCUCCAGAUGAUUAUGUUGUAGAUCUUGCAGCCAUUAGAUGUGAACCAUGGUUUGGUUCACAGUACAUUGAAGAAGAUAUUCCGUCAUCUUUGAUUGAAAGCUGGAGAAAUCCUGUGGAGAUAGACGGUAAUUUUCAUUUACCUCGGAAGAAUGAAUACAUCCCAGGGGACUUCAGUCUGCGGAAUGCUAGCAUUCCUAAAUCCUCAAACGAUGAUAAUCCUCGAUGUAUUGUGGAUGAACCAUUCAUAAAGCUCUGGCACAAGAUGGAUAUUACAUUUAAUGUUCCUCGUGCCAAUGCAUACUUUUUGAUCUCUGUCAAGGAUGGCUGCAGCAGCCUCAGAAACUCUGUUCUUACAGAUCUGUUUGCAAACCUUCUUAAAGAUGAGCUAAAUGAGGUCCUCUAUCAGGCUUACGUGGCUAAACUCGAGACAUCAUUAUCUGUCGUUGGUAGCAACCUUGAGCUAAAGCUUUAUGGUUACAAUGACAAGCUGGCCAUCCUGCUGUCCCACAUCUUGGCUGCUUCUCAAUCCUUUUCUCCAAAGAUAGAUAGGUUUGAGGUCAUCAAGGAGGACUUGGAAAGAGCUUACAGAAACACGAAUAUGAAACCUAUGAGCCAUUCCACCUACUUGAGGCUACAGUUCUUGCGUCAAAUAUUCUGGGACGUCAAUGAAAAAUUGAAAGUUCUUGCGACUUUAACCUUUUCAGAUCUGGCAGCAUUUGUUCCAGAGCUCCUUUCUCAGUUGCACAUCGAGGGCCUAUGUCAUGGCAACCUGUCAGGAGACGAAGCGAUAAAUAUAUCAAAAAUAUUCCAGAAUACUUUGUCAGGCCAGACACUGUCAGUGGAGGCAAGACACGGUGAAAGAGUUCUAUGCAUUCCUCAUGGUGCAAAUUUUAUUAGAAGUGUACGUGUGAAGAAUGAUCUUGAAGAGAAUUCUGUGGUUGAGGUUUAUUUUCCAGUCGAGCAAGACAUUGGAAAGGAUUCAACAAGGCUCAGAGCUAUUACAGAUCUUUUCAGCAAUAUCAUUGAAGAACCUUGCUUUGAUCAGCUGAGAACGAAGGAGCAGCUUGGUUAUACUGUGGACUCCAGUCCAAGGAUGACUUACCGCCUGCUGGCGUAUUGUUUUCGAGUUAUGUCCUCCAAGUAUAGCCCUGUUUACCUGCAAAGCAGGAUUGAUAACUUUAUUGAUGGUCUGUCUGCUUUGCUGGAUGGGCUUGAGGAGGAGACUUUUGAGCAUCACAAGAGUGGGCUAAUAGCUCAAAAACUCGAGAAGGAUCCUUCCCUUAGCUAUCAAACUGGUGAUUACUGGUCGCAAAUUACCGACAAAAGGUAUAUGUUUGAUAUGUCAAAACUGGAAGCUGAAGAGCUAAGGACAGUUGGGAAGGAGGACGUCAUCAGUUGGUACAAUGCCUACAUAAGAUCAUCUUCUCCAACACGUAGACGAUUGGCAAUACAUGUGUAUGGUUGCAACUCGGAUAUUGCUGAGGCUGCCAAGCUGCAAGAGCAGUCAUGGACUGCAAUUGAUGAUGUUGAAUCCUUGAAGGGUUCUUCCCAAUUUUAUCCGAGCCUCUGCUGA